UUGUCUCAAAGAUUAAGCCAUGCAUGUCUAAGUAUAAGCAAUUAUACAGCGAAACUGCGAAUGGCUCAUUAUAUAAGUUAUCGUUUAUUUGAUAGUACCUUACUACUUGGAUAACCGUGGUAAUUCUAGAGCUAAUACAUGCUAAAAAUCCCGACUUCGGAAGGGAUGUGUUUAUUAGAUUAAAAACCAAUGCCCUCCGGGGCUCCUUGGUGAUUCAUGAUAACUAUUCGAAUCGCAUGGCCUUGCGCCGGCGAUGGUUCAUUCAAAUUUCUUCCCUAUCAACUUUCGAUGUUUGGGUAUUGGCCAAACAUGGUUGCAACGGGUAACGGAGGGUUAGGGCUCGACCCCGGAGAAGGAGCCUGAGAAACGGCUACUACAUCCAAGGAAGGCAGCAGGCGCGCAAAUUACCCAAUCCCGACUCGGGGAGGUAGUGACAAUAAAUACUGAUACAGGGCUCUUUUGGGUCUUGUAAUUGGAAUGAGUACAAUUUAAAUCUCUUAACGAGGAACAAUUGGAGGGCAAGUCUGGUGCCAGCAGCCGCGGUAAUUCCAGCUCCAAUAGCGUAUAUUAAAGUUGUUGUGGUUAAAAAGCUCGAAAUUUGAAC
rnacentral:rRNA from 1 species